UACGGAGGGGGCAAGCGUUGUUCGGAAUUACUGGGCGUAAAGGGCGCGUAGGCGGUUGGCUAAGUCUCGCGUGAAAGCCCAGGGCUCAACCGCGGAAUGGCGGGGGAGACUGGCUGGCUUGAGUCCGGGAGAGGAGGGUGGAAUACCCAGUGUAGCGGUGAAAUGCGUAGAUAUUGGGGGGAACCCCGGUGGCGAAGGAGGCUCUCAGGGCCGGUAUUGACGCUGAGGCGCGAAAGCUCGGGGAGCAAACGGG
rnacentral:rRNA from 1 species